rnacentral:sRNA from 1 species
UAUUCUGCCCCAUGGGGAAGGAUGAGAAGCUUCGACUAAGGUUCGACUCGAGCGCAGCGAGAGAACGUUGCCGCAGGCAACGGCCCGAAGGGCGAGGCGCUUUAGCGCCG